rnacentral:misc_RNA from 1 species
AAGUCGUAACAAGGUUUCCGUAGGUGAACCUGCGGAAGGAUCAUUAGCGAAGUUCGGAAUGCCGGUUCGGUGCUGCAGCUGCCCAGCAAUGGGAUGUGCUCGUCCGGGCCGGUGUCCCUUCUCUAUUCCACCCCACUGUGAACCAAGCGUGCGAGCAGGAGAGAGAUCGGAAGCUCGCAUGCACACUUUAACAUACCCCUUAUGAAGUAUCUGAAUGUACCUUGCGUUAACUCGCACAAAUACAACUUUCAACAACGGAUCUCUUGGCUCUC